AGAGUUUUGAUCCUGGCUCAGGAUGAACGCUAGCUACAGGCCUAACACAUGCAAGUCGAGGGGCAGCAUGGGAGAAGCUUGCUUUUCCCGAUGGCGACCGGCGAAAGGGUGAGUAACGCGUGAGCAACAUGCCCGAUACUGGAGGAUAGUCGAUGGAAACGUCGCGUAAUACUCCGUAACAACAGAGACCGCAUGAUCUUUGUUUAAUAGAUUUAUCGGUAUCGGAUUGGCUCGCGUCCCAUUAGGCAGUUGGCGGGGUAACGGCCCACCAAACCGACGAUGGGUAGGGGUUCUGAGAGGAAGGUCCCCCACAUUGGAACUGAGACACGGUCCAGACUCC
rnacentral:rRNA from 1 species